GGGUGCGCUUCAGCCUCUCCUUCUUCUGGCUCCCACCACUGCCUGCCUUGCCAGACUAUGAGCUUCUGGAGGGAAGGAGCCAGGAUGGUCUUUCUCAGUUGGACCCCAGGACUGACUUUGCCAGAAACAAGGUGGACCCAGAAGAGAGCAAGGUGACAUGCUGGUGCCUCAGAUUCAUACAAGUCACCCACACCCUUUUGUCUGCUGACAGAAUUCUGUGUCAGAGAAAGGAGGUGUCUGGUCCAAGGUCACAGGCUGAUUCAAGGAAAUGUGGUGCUUUUGUUGGGAUUUACUUUGCCUACAUUUUGCACAGCCUCAGGAUCAGAGAAUCAGUCUGACUGAUAGGAUGUUAUUCUCAUGUCUCUUGAAGGUCAAGGUGACCAAGCCCCAGCUCAGUAGAUGUGAAUAUUAGGACUUUAUGGGAUUUGCAAAGGGAGGGCAAAUGGAGCCUACACAGCUGUGCAAACCCUUUGUCCUUCCUUCUGUCCUCAUGCUCAUCCUCUGAAAGGUAGCCAUCCUGAGCCCUCCUCCACAGAACUCUGUAGGAGAAAGAGCAUCCCAGCUCCAUCCUGUGCCACAGAUAUUGUGGGUGCAUAUAGGGCUGUUCCCAGACUCUGAACUCCAAGCUGAAGAGGAGGGAUGAGCUUCUGUGGGGGUGUCUGGAUGCUGAGUUACCUACCACAGCCUCUGGUUUUUGGUGUUUGCUCAUUUCUGGAGAAGGGAGGGAGUCUAAGCAGGACACCUCAGUGGGAACAGAGCUCUCCUUUCCCAAGCAGAAUGACAGGAGCCACUGUAUUCUCUCCCUUUCCUGUAUCC